rnacentral:tRNA from 1 species
GGAGGGUGUAGCUCAGUGGUAGAGCGCAUGCUUAGCAGGCAUGAGGUCCUGGGUUCAAUCCCCAGUACCUCCA